rnacentral:lncRNA from 1 species
CCUCCCACCCUUCCUUGAGUGACUUGGAGCACGUAUCUGAAAAUCUCCCCCAGCAGACCCAGCACCAAGAAAGUAUGGCUCUUCUGGCACAAAGUUGAAAGCAUUCAGUCUUGUCAGUUUAUCCUGUUACCAUAGCAAAGGGUUCCCUGCUUGAAAUAGAACCCUCAGGAUGUUUGUUUGUUUGUUUGUUUUCUUUUCUACCCCUGGCACGGCAGGAUCCCCAGGUGCCAGGUAGCUGUAGUCUGUACCUCUCCAGACCAUGGGCUGAGCUCUCCAUCCUGCCAGCCGCAGGGUGCUCCCCAUUCCUUUGGUCAUCAAACAUCUUGAAACAUUUACUGCAUGUUGACCCUGGCCUUGAUGUCGGGGGCAAUGGGAAGGAGCCCUGCGGCACUGCCACUGCAGAAGGUGCAUUUGAGAUGGUUCUUUUGACAGGAGAGAUGCAUCAUUGGGCCCGGCGGGCACUGGGGUUGCUGGUGAAGAGAUGUUGGCUGGCAGCCAGUCCAUUCCCGGGUGCACCUGUGGUCUUUUCUGGAACACAACCCAGAAUAGAUUUCUUGAGUCUUCCUCAACCAGAGUAUUUCCCGGUGCUGGUCUUGAUGGCCAGUUUGUUUGGAAGCAGUGUUGCCUUCACAGGGCCAGCCGGGGUCUUCUGCGGGGCGCCCCCGAGGAGGCUGAAGUGCAGCCACCUUCUUCAGGUGUCAGAACCCGUCCCAGAGUCUUGAUCAUCUUGGCUUCUCUCCAUGGAACAAGGAGGUUUCAGCCAGCCUUCCUCUCUGCGAGUCUGGGUUGUCUGCAUUUCUCCGGGAGUGGCACAGGAUGUCGGCAGCACUGGUCCCUGGGCCUUUCCCUACCUGUAAAGUCCUGUUUGCUGAGAUGCUUGGCUCCUAGGCCUUUGGACUCCAAGUGAACAUGCAGUACACGUGCUCGGCGGGUGGAUGUAGAUGCUGAUGUGACCCCUCCCUGAUGCCCGGGUUGUCUGACAAGCCAUUGAUCCGUGUCCUCCAGGGUUCUGACUCCCAGUGCCCCUCUCUGACAGGCUGACAUCAAGUUUCCAGGAGACAUUUGGCCUAGCAGAGGCGUCCAGCUCAUGAGCACCUGGGAGCCAGGAAAACCAUCCAGGGACUGUCUGCUUCCCCCUCUGCCUGGGAGUCGCCCCACCGGUCGCCUUGGAGCUCAGUCAUCCUUCCAGUCACGGGACCCACCCCCAACUGUGUUGUGCCUCCUGCCGCCCAGCGGCACAGACGGCGUCUCUCCUGUCUGGACCUGUGGAUUAUGAAGACCCCCUGCGUCUUCCUCACCAGUGUGCUGAGCCCAGCACUUGGCACUCGCAUUCUUUUCUGGUGUCUGUUGAUGGAUUCAACCACAUCAUCAGAUAAAUAAGAGAUAAAACAAUCUUUUUCAAUUUUUUAAAUUAAGUUUAGUUUUUUUUUAAGCUUCCAUCCGACCUAGUAUCAAAAAUUAAUUCUGCCAUUUCAGAUGUAAAGCUCAGAAAGUCCAAGUUAAAUGCAGUCACUUCAGGAUUUUCUCCUCCUCCCUCUCCCAGAGUGACUUUAGAUUCUUGGGGUUGGGGGUAUAGGGAGGGGCUUCUGGCUUUUGGGAGAUGCUCCAUCCUAUGCUGGACUCUUCCCGUCUAGUCUUGGGACACGGCCUUCCUUCCUUGACGGCUUCUGCAGAAGCAUCUUCUUUCCCAUCUGGUCUUGGCCACACGGUCCCUGCAUGCCAUCCGUAUCUGUCAACCCUGAGGCCCCUCUGGCCUUCCUGUGCUCCAAGACACAUGCACGCCCGCCUCUGUCCUGUGGGAAAAGCCUUGCCUACCCCCUUGAACUACUGAGGGGCCUGCAUCAGGCCCACCUUCUCGGGGCUCCCUAUGCCACAUCAUAUAUUGGGUGGCAGGAGGCAGUUUCUUUCCAGAGUGUCGUCUCCUAGAGCAUGUAAAACGCGGUCUCAGGAGCCCUCCCUUCUCAGAGCCUCAGCCCUCCCUGCAGUUCUGCCACCACCAUGCGGGGGUCAGGCCCUCACUGGUAUAUGCUGGCAUCUUCUCUUCUUCAUCUUCUCUUUCACGGUCCGUAGAGUUGUUGCUUCCUAUCCCUAGAGCUUGGAGCUCUACCCCUGGAAAUUCAAAAGCCAGGUGUUCAUGUCUAGAUGGAUAAUCAAAGCACAGUCAUCUCAGUCAAUGCAGAAAAGGCAUUUGACAAACUCUAAUAGUUGUUCAUGAUAAAAAUGCUCAAGGAACUGAACUGAAGGGAACUUCCUCACCCCGAUAAAGGGCAUCUACAGAAGGUCUACGGCCACCAUCACACUUACGGUAAAAGGCCAGAUGCCUUCCUGCUGAGAUCUGAAGCAAGACUCUGGCUCCUUCUACCCAACAUUGCGUUGUGUGUUUUAUCCAGAGCAGAUCGACAAGAAAAUGAAAUAUAAGGUAUAUAAUUUGGCAAAGGAGAACCAAGCUACUUCUGUCUAGAUGAUCUGUUCUUCUAUAUAGAAAAUCCUAAGGAAUCCGCUAAAACUUGUUAUAGCCAAUAAACAAGUUCAGCACGUUUCCA